rnacentral:rRNA from 1 species
GUAGGUGGGGUAACGGCUCACCUAGGCGACGAUCCCUAGCUGGUCUGAGAGGAUGACCAGCCACACUGGAACUGAGACACGGUCCAGACUCCUACGGGAGGCAGCAGUGGGGAAUAUUGCACAAUGGGCGCAAGCCUGAUGCAGCCAUGCCGCGUGUAUGAAGAAGGCCUUCGGGUUGUAAAGUACUUUCAGCGGGGAGGAAGGGAGUAAAGUUAAUACCUUUGCUCAUUGACGUUACCCGCAGAAGAAGCACCGGCUAACUCCGUGCCAGCAGCCGCGGUAAUACGGAGGGUGCAAGCGUUAAUCGGAAUUACUGGGCGUAAAGCGCACGCAGGCGGUUUGUUAAGUCAGAUGUGAAAUCCCCGGGCUCAACCUGGGAAC